CAGGCCUCAGCUCCCUCUAGCUCCUCCAAGGGCUGUGUUGGAUGUUUGUUCUACAAAGGUAGCCCCAGCUGGCAGAAGAGCUGACUUGGGCCUGACCCAAGCCGCCUCUUGUUUCCCUGGCUUCAGCCUGAAUGUAGCAGUAGGAAGCUUUCUUUGGGUCUCUGCUACUAACAGCCGCAGUUAUGGGAUAGGGCAAAUCCUGAGACGUGCCUGAUACAUGGGUAACUCCGUGGAAGCCUCAGGUCUCGGUUCUGAGUCAAGUCAGGAGGCGAGGCUCAUCCAGCAAGAGCCUGUGGUUAGGCUGCCACCUAGUGUUGAGCUGGGUGUACAGCAGAAAGGCCUCUACAGGGCACCCAACCUGAGGGGCUGACAGGCAAGAAAGAGGGAAAACCAGAAAAUCUGCAAAGAAGCCAGGCUCCUGAGGGGCCCCAACCACCCCAGACCAGACGGAAAAUGCAUUUCGGGCGAAGACAAACGAUGAAGUCAGCCUGCAGCCGGAGGCCAAGAAAACUAAAAGCGCACUUUUACAGGAGCUAUGGGAACAGUCCAGGCAGAUGGAAGCAAGACACGCGGAGCAUCUGGGCAGAACGGAACCAUACGGACUUGUGCCUGGUUGCUCUGAAGGUGAAGAGUGAGGCCAGGAGGAAACAGCAAUGAAUUGAGGGCAGCUGUAUGGAUGUGAGAGUUGGACUGUGAAGAAGGCUGAGCGCUGAAGAAUUGAUGCUUUUGAACUGUGGUGUUGGAGAAGACUCUUGAGAGUCCCUUGGACUGCAAGGAGAUCCAACCAGUCCAUUCUGAAGGAGAUCAGCCCUGGGAUUUCUUUGGAAGGAAUGAUGCUAAAGCUGAAACUCCAGUACUUUGGCCACCUCAUGCGAAGAGUUGACUCACUGGCAAAGACUCUGAUGCUGGGAGGGAUUGGGGGCAGGAGGAGAAGGGGACAACAGAGGAUGAGAUGGCUGGAUGGCAUCACUGACUCGAUGGACGUGAGUCUGAGUGAACUCCGGGAGCUGGUGAUGGACAGAGAGGCCUGGUGUACCGUGAUUCAUGGGGUCGCAAAGAGUCGGACACGACUGAGCGACUGAUCUGAUCUGAUCUGAUCUGAUGCCUCUUCAAAGAUUUGCUACUUUUUGAGACUUUCAAGCAUGAAAAUGGUUUAUCCUCCCCUCUCAUAAUUGAUGGGGAGGCCAAAUAGGACAGAGUGACAUAACCAGCAAACAGAGCACCUUAAGACAACACACCCGUUAAAGUAACGUAACGAUCAAGGAAACAAGACUGCAAGCAGCUUGGGAAAUGGAGAGCAAAAGAAUUAGCUUCAUCAAGCCAUCAUUCUAGAGCAGGCUUGUUGUUUGGUGUGGCUGCGUUUUUGUGUAGGAAUUGUACAUAGCUGCAAGUGUCAUCCACAUGCCCACACUCUAACCUCCUUUCUCCACCUAACAUGAUGUCAUGAGCAUUUUUCUGUGUUGCUACAUAGUCUGUAUAAUUACUCUAAAUGACUGUACAAUAUUCCACUCAUUAUACUACUGCUGAAUAUUUAGGUUCCUUUUUUUUUUCCUUUGCUCAAUUUUCAUGAAUUAACAAAUGUAAGGUGUUUCCACCCAAGCUUGCAAAACGUAGACACAGAGUAGAUGCUUUUUGUCUUUUCCAUCUCUCUCCUUCCUGUGUAUCUUUGUCCCUGGGCUUUUCCUUGAGAUAAGUGUUCCUUAGGGUUCAGGGGUAUGACUCUCCACACAUACUGCUACCAUAUUGUUCCAUUAAUUACAAUGACAAUUUGAGAAAGCAGAGGUCUGCAAGUUUAACUAAUCUGCCCAGGGUCCCUGUCUGUUCUGUUUUCUUCUUUUCCCCCCAAGGUCUGCUCCAGUGUCUGGUGCAUAGAACGACUUCAAUAAACAUUUGCUGAAUGAA
ensembl:lncRNA